GACGAACGCUGGCGGCGCGCUUAACACAUGCAAGUCGAACGGAAAGGCCUGCUUUCCCUUGGGGAUUGCGGGUACUCGAGUGGCGAACGGGUGAGUAACACGUGAGUGAUCUGCCCCCAACUUGGGUAUAAGCCUGGGAAACUGGGUCUAAUUCCCGAUAGGACUGCAGGGUGGUGCCUGUGGUGGAAAACGAUUUUCUAGUGGUUGGGGAUGAGCUCGCGGCCUAUCAGCUUGUUGGUGGGGUAAUGGCCUACCAAGGCGGCGACGGGUAGCCGGCCUGAGAGGGUGGACGGCCACAUUGGGACUGAGAUACGGCCCAGACUCCUACGGGAGGCAGCAGUGGGGAAUAUUGCACAAUGGGCGGAAGCCUGAUGCAGCGACGCCGCGUGGGGGAUGACGGCCUUCGGGUUGUAAACUCCUUUCGACCGCGAGGAAGCCACCUGGUUGGAAGGGUGGUGACGGUAGUGGUAGAAGAAGCACCGGCUAACUACGUG
rnacentral:rRNA from 1 species